rnacentral:rRNA from 1 species
UACAGAGGGUGCGAGCGUUAAUCGGAAUUACUGGGCGUAAAGCGUGCGUAGACGGUUAUUUAAGUCGGAUGUGAAAGCCCCGGGCUCAACCUGGGAAUUGCAUUCGAGACUGAAUAGCUAGGGUGCGGUAGAGGGAAGCGGAAUUUCCGGUGUAGCGGUGAAAUGCGUAGAUAUCGGAAGGAACAUCAGUGGCGAAAGCGGCUUCCUGGACCAGCACCGACGUCAGGCACGAAAGCGUGGG